AACGAACGCUGGCGGCAUGCCUAACACAUGCAAGUCGAACGAGACCUUCGGGUCUAGUGGCGCACGGGUGCGUAACGCGUGGGAGUCUGCCCUUCGGUUGGGAAUAACUGAGAGAAAUUUCAGCUAAUACCUUAUAAUGUCUUCGGACCAAAGAUUUAUCGCCGAGGGAUGAGCCCGCGUAGGAUUAGGUAGUUGGUGGGGUAAUGGCCUACCAAGCCGACGAUCCUUAGCUGGUCUGAGAGGAUGAUCAGCCACACUGGGACUGAGACACGGCCCAGACUCCUACGGGAGGCAGCAGUGGGGAAUAUUGGACAAUGGGCGAAAGCCUGAUCCAGCAAUGCCGCGUGAGUGAUGAAGGCCUUAGGGUUGUACAGCUCUUUUACCCGGGAUGAUAAUGACAGUACCGGGAGAAUAAGCUCCGGCUAACUCCGUGCCAGCCGCCGCUGUAA
rnacentral:rRNA from 1 species